UUGAAAAACAGUAGCAACAUUUUCUUUAUUUCCUCUUAUUUCCUUCAACUAAAACCAUUCUUUUACCCUAAUUUCUUUCCACUCUUAAACCAAAAUUCGAGCCGUCGCAAUUCUCUCUAAUCCUUGGAAAUAAACUCUAGAAAUAACCCUCCUUUUUCAUUGUGAAAUUCGCUUUGUUUAGAGAACCGCUUCGUCUCAGCUGUAGUAGACUCGAUCCCCUACAAUUCUAUAGUUUCAGAUUCAGAUUUGACCCGUCGAAUGCUCGUGCUUCGGAGUCUACGCAUGGUUAGCUGUUUGCCAAGAUUCACGUAGAUAAGCAAACAGUGAGUUUGUAGUGCUAUUUACCGCUUUAUUAAGUACCGCAUCGUAUUUUAAUAUUAUAAAUGCAUUUGAACUGUUUUUACGGAUUAUGGAUCUGGAUUGAAACGAGCUACUCGAUAGGCUUGUAUCGAGACUGUGUGCACCGGUAAGUACUCUGGGAAACGGCAAACUAAAGUCUUGCUUACGCUGGUAUAUUUAUAUGACGAGGAUUUGUUCCCGUCCACUCUGGGUUUAUCGGUAUGCUAUGUCAUAAUUACGCUGGGAUCAUUUCAAUACUGUUUUCCAUAAUCAUAUUAUAUUAGUAUAAAAAAUGUUUUGAUUUAAGGGUUUUAAACUUAAUAAAUGUAAAUAGUAUUGCGAACUCAUCUCAGUAUAUCUGACCCCGUUGUUGUCCCAAAUUUUCCAGGUUUAUAAUUUGAAAGCUGGUCCACUCCGAUUCUUUUGAUUCCUCGGAGGUUUUUAUGUUAUUAAACUAGUUUCUGUUUUCGAACUCUUAGACCGCAGUAGAACUAGUUAUUUAUUUCAUUUGAUAUUUCACUUUGGAAUUGUCGAUAUAUUCGAUUAUUUAUAUUUGGCAUGAUUACUCUGGAUUACGAUAUUAUUAAAUUUAAGGAAUGAUGUGGAAUAUUCAAGAUAUUUAAGUUAUUUAUAUUAGAACCGUAAUAUAAAUUGCUAGACCUAGGUUGGAGUCUCGGUUGCCCCCGAGCAGUUUCUGCAGGUUUAAAUGUUUAAUUGAUUUUCGCAAGGCUUGCUACGGGUUUUGGUACAACCAUACCCAUACCCUAGCGCCGGUCACGAUUCAUGAAAUU